CAAAUAACUAUAUUACGGCACACGGCCAGUUCGUCUCCGCGGUCGGAGACAAACUCCACUGCUCCACUCUCUCAUCUCGCGUCUUUCUGUUUACACGAUUUUCUUCAACGCUCAAGGGUUGGGGACUGCAACGUACACACCGACCAUUUAGUCGUUCAGUGAGGAUCCUCUUGAGUGGAAAAGAGAGACUGAGUGUGAAUACGGAGGCUUGAAGAAGAACACGAGCGACUGCACGGAUCUGAGGGAGGAAGAGAGACCGAUGUCUUUGAGAGAAAGAGAGAGAUAUUAAUCAGUAGUGGGGAUAUAGCCAUGACUCUGAUACAUCGGCUAUGUAUUUCGUACCGUGGCAGUGGGAAGAGCUCAGCUUGACUGGAGAGAGAGAGAGAGAGAGAGUGAGAGAGAGGGGGAGAGAAUAAAGAACAAAACAAAGAUGGACAGCGUGCCGGGCGUGACUAGGCGUCCAUAGGAGACCAAGACACGAGGAGUGACAUGCGUGAAUUCUCUGGACGAGAAUGAGUUCCUGGUGGUAGGGAAGUCUGAAUUAUGAAGAAGAGAAGACAGAGGUUACGUCAGUGAUGCGUAACGAAGUGAGCACGUGGUUAGGAGUCUUGUUAAUCGUAUCCGGAGACGUCUAUUUAUAUAUGAGUGAAAAUCGAAGAAAAUUCAAAGGUUAUGUUAAAACUAGCUCCUUUCUUCUGCCGUUCCUGAUCUACUUUGUUCUCUGGCUUUUCCUUUUACAGACAUUCUCGACUAUUCUACUCUGUUUCUAACCUUCGUACAGACGUACCGAAUGAUCUCUGAUAACUCUAAUACAAUAGAACGCCAUAGAGCGUAUUGGACGAUGUUCUGUACCAGGGGAAAUGAUAUAGUCGUUCUUUCUGUGGUGUAAGGAGGACGAGAAGAGGGCGGAAGCACGUAGAGUGAGACGUCGAUUGAAACUCGUUUCGAAUCGAGUGAAACAAAACGAUACAACAUCCUAAGACCCCGCGCAGAGUGGCUUAUGCUAGAUAUGAUAUGGUGUACGAGGAAGUAUGCUCAAGGCGCAAUGUCCUAAGAAUAUCUCCUCGUCGUAGCGUUACUACACGAGAUAUAUAAAUUGCUCUACCCAGAGAUAAUGCACCGGCAGACCAACAGAAUGAAGCGUCAGGGAUUCUAGGAUCGCGAAUACGACAGCUCAGUGUAUCACCAGGCAUUAUCUCCUCUACUCUUCUCUUUCCUUCCUUCUCUCCAGUUGAGAGAUUAAUGAAAGCACAGACGAUUCAACUUAGUAAGGAGCAGACAUGAAAUACUGCCCAGAGUGACAAGAACGAGAUGAUUAAACCGAUUACAACCCUUUCUUACGUCUAUCUUAACACUCUGCUCCACUCAACGUAUGUUCACGUAUGACGUCAUAACGGAAUGGAAGCCACGAAGCGGAGGAGCUUAUUAGUACCGACAAUUUCUAAAUAUUUCUAAAAAUCCAGCUGCGUGGGUCAGCAACUGGAAAUAAAAACUUCACAGAACAAAACUUAACUGGUGUCAGAAGAGAAAUAUACAGAGAAAACAAAGAUAUGUAAUACAAAUCACGUGAUCGAUACUGGUUCAAGAAGAUUACGGGGACUAAUAUCUAGAUCAAUGAUCUAGUUCACUCAGCUAAUUUCAACGAUCUUAUCCGGAUGUACUCUUUAACACCCUUCUUGAUCUCGUACCAAUAAUCCGGACAUUGGCAUGCUCAAAGUUCACUCCACACGUGCGUACAUUCUCCCUUAUAUAUUAUAUUCCACGUGUAAUAUAUCUGAACACCUUUACUUACGUAUUGGAGGCUGCCCACCGACCAGGAAGUAAUCACGGACAACUGGCCACUCGCCGGAAUUCUCAGCAAUGCCAAUGUGGUCCGGUUGAUCUUUCUUUUUAAAAUACGAAUACUCGUCCGUCCAGCUCGUACGUGCAGUAAAACUUUAUUAUAAUAUUUAAAUUCUAUCAACAAUAUGACACUUCGUUUAUCACACUACGUAUGCAAACAGACCGUGACAUUAUUUAAAUUCACGUAGAGCAUCAACUGAUAGUUUUUCACAUGGUUUUAUACUUUAUACUGUCUUUUGUUUAUAUUCCUUUUUCCUGAUCUUCAUGUAACCAUUUAAUUGUUCAAAUUGAAGGCUAAUUACGGACGUAUGGCAGAACUUCGGUAACGAUAUCAAUAUCAGGAUCCAGACUACGUCCUAGUCCCUCGAUCACUGCCAUGCUGAGUAUCACGCUACUGAAGGAUCCGUCUUGCUUCACCUGGUAACGAAUCAUCGCCGAGAACAAUUCAGCCACAACGGUACUCACGUUCACCUGCGAGUUAUUUAAGAAAAAGGAUCAAGAAAAUAUAAGGCUACAGUUGGUACAGUCUUCCUGUCGCAGCAUCGCUUAACCAUCAUACCUUACCAUCCAUGGUAUAGGUAUAUAUACGCUAUCAUGGGUGCAUCAUGGUUUUAUGUGAUACGUCACUGGGAUUUAAUCGAAUCGUUAUCUAUUGCGUCAAGCGAGAGACUAUUUAGAAAAUUAUUAUAGGUAAUUAUCUUUCUGACGAUCGCAGAUAACAAGCGGCAUUCCUUAUCAUAGCCAGAUGAGUGGAUGGUCUAAUAUUCAUUUUAUUUAUUUUUUUUUUAAAUAAAUAUAUUCUCAGAUUGGUUUUUUAAA